rnacentral:rRNA from 1 species
UACGUAGGGUGCGAGCGUUGUCCGGAAUUAUUGGGCGUAAAGAGCUCGUAGGCGGUUUGUCACGUCUGCUGUGAAAUCCCGAGGCUCAACCUCGGGUCUGCAGUGGGUACGGGCAGACUGGAGUGCGGUAGGGGAGAAUGGAAUUCCUGGUGUAGCGGAGGAAUGCGCAGAUAUCAGGAGGAACACCGAUGGCGAAGGCAGUUCUCUGGGCCGUAACUGACGCUGAGGAGCGAAAGCAUGGGGAGCGAACAGG